rnacentral:rRNA from 1 species
GACGAACGCUGGCGGCGUGCUUAACACAUGCAAGUCGAACGGAGAUAUUUGAAAAACUUGCUUUUCGGAUAUUUUAGUGGCGGACGGGUGAGUAACGCGUGAGUAACCUGCCUUGGAGUGGGGGAAUAACACAGGGAAACUUGUGCUAAUACCGCAUAAUAUCAUUGGAUGGCAUCUUCCGAUGAUCAAAGAUUUAUUGCUCCAAGAUGGGCUCGCGUCCGAUUAGCUAGUUGGUGAGAUAACAGCCCACCAAGGCGACGAUCGGUAGCCGACCUGAGAGGGUGAUCGGCCACAUUGGAACUGAGAAACGGUCCAGACUCCUACGGGAGGCAGCAGUGGGGAAUAUUGGGCAAUGGGCGAAAGCCUGACCCAGCAACGCCGCGUGAGGGAGAAGGGUUUCGGCUCGUAAACCUCUAGUCCUAUGGGACGAAGAAGAUGACGGUACCAUAGGAGGAAGCCCCGGCUAACUACGUG